AUGUUCAAAAUUCUCCAAGCCAGGCUUCAGCAGUAUGUGAAUCAUGAACUUCCAGAUGUUCAAGCUGGUUUUAGAAAAGGCAGAGGAACCAGAGAUCAAAUUACCAACAUCUGCUGGGUCGUUGAAAAAGCAAGAGAGUUCCAGAAAAACAUCUAUUUCUGCCUUAUUGACUAUGCCAAAGUCUUUGACUGUGUGGCUCACAAUCAACUGUGGAAAAUUCUGAAAGAGAUGGGAAUACCAGACCAUCUGACCUGCCUCUUGAGAAACCUAUGUGCAGGUCAGGAAGCAACAGUUAGAACUGGACAUGGAACAACAGACUGGUUCCAAAUAGGAAAAGGAGGAUAUCAAGGCUGUAUAUUGUCACCCUGCUUAUUUAACUUAUAUGCAGAGUACAUCAUGAGAAACGCUGUGCUGGAAGAAACACAAGCUGGGAUCAAGAUUGCUGGGAGAAAUAUCAAUAACUUCAGAUACACAGAUGACACCACCCUUAUGGCAGAAAGUGAAGAGGAACUCAAAAGCCUCUUGAUGAAAGUGAAAGAGGAGAGGGAAAAAGUUGGCUUAAAGUUCAACAUUCAGAAAACAAAGAUCAUGGCAUCUGGUCCCAUCAUGGGAAGUAGAUGGGGAAACAGUGGAAGUAGUGUUAGACUUAAUUUUCUGGGCUCCAAAAUCACUGCAGAUGGUGACUGCAGCCAUGAAAUUGAAAGAUGCUUACUCCUUGGAAGGAAAGUUAUGACCAACCUAGAUAGCAUAUUGAAAAGCAGAAACAUUACUUUGCCAACAAAGGUCCAUCUAGUCAAGGCUAUGGUUUUUCCUGUAGUCAUGUAUGGAUGUGAGAGUUGGACUGUGAAGAAGGCUGAAUGCCGAAGAAUUGAUGCUUUUGAACUGUGGUGUUGGAGGAGACUCUUGAGAGUCCCUUGGACUGCAAGGAGAUCCAACCAGUCCAUUCUAAAGGAGAUCAGUCCUGGGUGUUCAUUGAAAGGACUGAUGCUAAAGCUGAAACUCUAA
rnacentral:lncRNA from 1 species